UGAUGGACGUGUUCCCUACUGUGGUC
rnacentral:piRNA from 1 species